AUUGAACGCUGGCGGUAUGCUUAACACAUGCAAGUCGAACGAUGAGAAAGAGCUUGCUCUUUCGAUUAGUGGCGGACGGGUGCGUAACGCGUAGGAAUCUACCUAUUGGUGGGGGACAACUUAGGGAAACUUAAGCUAAUACCGCAUACGUCCUACGGGGGAAAGAAGGGGAUCGCAAGACCUUUUGCUAAUAGAUGAGCCUGCGUAGGAUUAGCUAGUUGGUGGGGUAAAAGCUCACCAAGGCGACGAUCCUUAACUGGUUUGAGAGAAUGAACCGUCACACUAGAACUGAGACACGGUCCAGACUCCUACGGGAGGCAGCAGUGGGGAAUAUUGGACAAUGGGCGAAAGCCUGAUCCAGCAAUACCGCGUGUGUGAAGAAGGCCUUAGGGUUGUAAAGCACUUUCAAUUGGAAGGAAAACCUCGAAGCUAAUACCUUCGAGUUUGACAUUACCUUUAGAAGAAGCACCGGCUAACUCCGUGCCAGCCGCCGCCGUAA
rnacentral:rRNA from 1 species